GUGCUCCUUUAGCAGCACAUAUACUAAACGGGAACAAAUCAGAGAUUAGCAUGGCCCCUGUACAAUGAAGACACACAAAUUCAUAAAGCAUUCCACAUUUUU
ensembl:snRNA U6 U6 spliceosomal RNA